rnacentral:lncRNA from 10 species
GAUUCAUCCAUGUAAGUGUAUGUUUUUAAUAACAACUUCAAAAUAGCUGAAGCAAAAAUGGUCUCAAAUAAAUUGAGAAACAUGUAAGUUUUCCAUUAUGGUUGUCUGAGAAAUGCGUCAUUAGCCAACUUCAUCGUUGUAUAAACAUUGAGUGUAUUUACAGAAACCUAGAUGGUAUAGUCAACUACACAUCUAGGCUAUAUGGUAGAGCAUAGUGCUCCUAGGCUAGAAAACUGCAUGUUACUGUACUGAAUGCUAUAGGUGAUUGUAACACAAUGGUAAGUAUUUGUGUAUCUAAACAUGAAAAAGGU